GCAUGAGUCUGUUUCAGGGUCCCAAAUUCCAGCAUCUUGCUCUUUAUCUAUCUCUGUACUAAUACCACGUUAUCAUAGUUCUAAUAAUUAAAAAUAAUCAUAUCUGGAAAGGAGAGUUGUCCCUUCUUGGUCUUCUUCAGGAGUGUCUUAGUUAUUUGGGGCCAUUUUUAUUCUAUAUCCAUUCAAAAUAAGCUUGUCAAGUAUUAUGAAAUACCUCAUUGACAACUGAUAGGACUUGCACUCAAUGUUUAGUAUAAUUUUAGGAAAAGUGGUAUCUUUAUUAUAUUUUCCUCUAAGUAGACACAACUGUUCUCUCUUCUGUGGUCCUUUAUCACUCUCACCUUUCUUCAAUGUCUUUCAAUAAGCUUUAAUAAUUUCUCCCAUUAAAAUCUUGCAAAUUUGUUAAAUUUCUGCCUAAAAACUUUAUAUCACUGUGACUGCUGUAAAUAGCAUCUUUUGAAAAAUUAUGUUUUAAACUAGUUGUGUGUGUGGGUAUGUUGCAUUAGAUCACGCAGAGCAAGCUACCGUGACAAAGACGCCAAAGCGGUGUGAGGGCUGUUCACAAAACGGUACUUGGCACGUGCGCAGAAUGGAGGCAGGCCCUCCUUCACGCCUUUCCCUGGGCCCCGGGCUGCCCUGGGCCCUAGUGUCCUCAGCACGUGGCUCCCACGGUCGCCCGGGGAAUUCACUGCACCCAGGCAGAAGGGAAAGGAGCUUGCAGAAACAGUGCUGGGAGGCUUUGAAGGCCCUGGCUGUAGAUGGCGUGUAUCACUUUUGCUUUUAUUUUGAUGAUCAGAAGUAGGCACAGAGCCGCCGGACUGCUGGUGGCCGGGAGUAUGAGCAGCGGAGCCUGUGCCUAGAAGGCCAGGGCCCAGAAACCCUUCACUCCUGAAGUGGGGACACGCGGUUCUGCUGAGGACAUCCCUGUGUCUGUCGGAGAGAGUGAGAGAACUGCUCGUUCCACCCCCAAGGUCGCUCUAAAAGGGACUUCAGACUGAUGAGCGACAGGGGGCCAUGGACGGGCUCCGUGCCAGUUCCCGCGACGGGGCAUCCACUACACAAACCGUGCGUGUUGCCUCCAGUUCCUCAGCCACUAGGACCGUCCCAUGUCCAUCCCCAGGCCUCCCGGGGACCAGGCCAGGCCGCCUGUACCCGUGAGCUCCCCCGAGGCCGCGGACUAGAGGGCCCUGGGAGACAGCAGGGAAGCACCCGGAAGGGGGCCAUGCCAGCUCCCGUAAGGCAGCCGUCCCCAGGCCUACCCUCGGAGCCCGAGGCCGUGCGGGAAGUUCGGCCAUCCUGAGGAGGAGCCGGCUUGCAGAGCAGAGGGCCUGGGACUCCUGGGACCCCCAGCCUCAUCCAGCGGCCUGCUGACUUCCAUCUGGCGACCAGCCAACACUCGCAGGGGAAGAAUCGCCCCCUUGAGCUCUGCCCGAGUCCCUGACUCGCGAAAUUGUGAGUUUGGUUGGGGAAUGAAAGGCCUGGAAUGAGUGAUUUAUCACGGCAACGAGGCCUUGUAACACUGUGAGGGAAGCCAGAGAUGAAGUCUAGAAGGGAUGGUUGAGGAUCAGAGAAGUCACUAACUAGGAUCACGAAGGGGCAAAAAAAAUCUAAGUGUCUCAGUCUGUCUAGAUUUCUGGAAUGAAAUACAACAGACUGGGGAUCCCUGGGUGGCGCAGCGGUUUAGCGCCUGCCUUUGGCCCAGGGCGCAAUCCUGGAGACCCAGGAUCGAAUCCCACAUCGGGCUCCCGGUGCAUGGAGCCUGCUUCUCCCUCUGCCUGUGUCUCUG
ensembl:lncRNA